rnacentral:lncRNA from 1 species
GAAAGUAGCUUGAUGUUUUGCCUCAUGCUCAUUGAUUUUAAAGAUUUAGGUUUGUUCACUUUAUUUAUUUAUUUUUAGAUCCUCACAUAAAGUAGUCAGCUCUGGCUCCCUCAGCAACCUGUUCGCUUAAGUGAGACCUGUCAAGCAACAGCAUUUCACAGUGGGAGCCACAUUUGUGGAUGCAGGAGAAGGGAAGGAAGUUGCCAGCAAUGGAAAUUGACUUCAUCUACCUCUUCUGGUAAUUUAGGUUUCUGAAACAGAAAAGAGGCAAUUUGCUAUUCUACUGCUGAGGAUUUUAAAGAUUUAAUUGUAGGGAGCUGCAGACAGAACAGAACUAUGUCUUUGCCUUAUGAAAGCUACUGUAAUUUUCUCAUAAUUAAAAAGGAUCUCUGAAGAAACUGAGAUAAUAUAAUUUAUAACUAUACCCUCCUUUUCUCCAUUUGUGCCUUUUUGUUUUAGCAGAGUGCAUUCUGCAAGCAGAGGACAGAUAUUUCUCCUUGAAAUUCAGCAAUUUCCUUCAUCUCCCAGUUCAGAGAGGUCACUCAGCAAUGUGAGUGAAACUGUCCAAGAAAGUCCAUUUGAACAAACAGAAUUUUGAGCAGUAUUCAAGAUGUAAUCAUAAUAAUGGAUGCUGUGAAGACCAAGAAGACUAGCGGUGUUUCAGGUAUGUCUUGGGUGACUGCAGUUUCUUGGUCUUGUGUGCUUUC